UACGGGGGGAGCAAGCGUUGUUCGGAUUUACUGGGCGUAAAGGGCGCGUAGGCGGCCAGUGCAAGUCAGUUGUGAAAUCUCCGAGCUUAACUCGGAAAGGUCAACUGAUACUGCUCGGCUAGAGUGCAGAAGGGGCAACUGGAAUUCUCGGUGUAGCGGUGAAAUGCGUAGAUAUCGAGAGGAACACCUGCGGCGAAGGCGGGUUGCUGGGCUGACACUGACGCUGAUGCGCGAAAGCCAGGGGAGCGAACGGG
rnacentral:rRNA from 1 species